rnacentral:tRNA from 1 species
ACCGUUUGCCUUUGGUUCAGUGGUAGAAUGCUCGCCUGCCACGCGGGCGCCUCGGGUUCGAUUCCCGGCCGAUGGUU